rnacentral:lncRNA from 1 species
UAUACUCUAUUUCUCAAUAUCACUCUCGGCUUACGUCUCUUGGAUGAGAUGAUGAAACCCCUCUCAAAUCCUCUUAUUUACAUGAAAAUAAUAUCAAUUAUUCAAGAGAGAUGGUGGAUAAUCAAUUCUUAGAUUUACAAGAAUCCUUGUAACUCUCAUCUUCACAUUUUUCUAAGUUGAAUGUAUAGUCCCAAGAUUCAAGAAAGAAAUUCCAAGACUUUGACCAGUCCAUCCUCAUUUUCCAUUUAGUGGAAGUAUUUUGAUGAAGUGGCCAAAGUGAACCAUAAAUUUUAGAGGGAAUAUCAACAAUGCAAUAGGAGAUUGGUUGAAAAGUAUGUUGAAUUUCGAGAUUAGUCCAAAUGUAAUCGAGAUAUCGACAAUCACAAGUUGUUGUGACAAAAUCAUGGUAUGUAGUUUUAAUGAUUAUACAAUUACAAUCACUUUUUCUCAUAGAGCACCAAGAGAUGAGGGACUCACCAAACAGAAGCAAUGAUCACUAUUAAUGCAUUGAAAAUUAGAGAAACCACUGGUGGUAACAUUAGUGAAGCUCAAGAAAUGGAGAAAAGAUUUGUUAGAAAAGAAAAACUACUUUCUUGAAUCAACUUGACUUUGAAUAGGAUGAAGACGUUGUAGAAGGAGUAAAAGAAGAAGAUAGGAGAAAAAAAAUAAUGAAAAUGGAGAAAUAUGAAUUUUGACUAGAUAAUAUUUAGAUCUUGUUUUAUUUUUGUAUGUAAA